AUGGGUGCAGCCUCGGCCUCAAAGGCACGGCGCCGGCGCCACCCGGACUCAGUGCCAUCGCCGUCGUUGGGCUCACUGAGACGGCGGCGGCUACGUCGGUGCCGCGGCCGGGGACGACCCUGUACACGAUGCCGCCAUCCAGCUGCCAGUCUGAUCUGCUUGUUCAUCUCCGACACAGCUGCGAUGAAGGCGGCGGUGUCGGCAACAUCAUCAACAAGAACAGAAUCAUAUGUACUGGUGGCAACUUCAUUGGAGUCUGGACAUGGCAAUGAUCUCUUGCCAUGGCUCAUUCUGCUUUUCAAGUCGCCAACCAUCAUGCUGUAG
rnacentral:rRNA from 1 species